rnacentral:lncRNA from 1 species
CUAAUUGUGAUAGGCCACAACAUGUUUUUAUAGAUGUCAACAAAUGUUAUCCUGGAUUGAGACCACAUUUUGACUAUUUAUCCUGGAAAGUACACAUUUUCACAGGAAAUCUUGUCCUUUCUAAAGUUCCCAACUAAGCUAGUCUCGUUGUGGGGGGGGGGUCAUAAUUAUUUGUUCUUACUUACCUUACCCCUUGUUCAUCUUUAAAAAAAAAAUCAAAUAAAAAGGAUUGGAAAGCAACUUUGCUUCUGCCCAAUUCUGCUAAAUGAAAGUUUUCUCUGACAGAUCAUUUUGAUUUUGUAUUUUCUUCUGUGACAGAAACAGUGGGACAGGAGCAUGGAAAUGAAUGAAAGUCUUUAAAAGCCUUGAGAGAGAGUUUUCAAGGAUCAGGAGAGGGCUUAGAAAGAAAAGGACUCUGAGUGGGGCUGCAUGAAAAGGGGGUAAGUGAGGACUCUUGGGGAGGGUCUGAAAAAAACAAGUAGUUUGGCAAGGAGAGCAGAAAAAUAAAAUUCCACUGUGUAGGCAUUUGGGGAUUUAGCAAGAUCAACCUAGAGUCUGCCCCCAGAGACACUGCACAUUAUUUCUGACACAGAGGAUGCACUAAUUCUAUUUCCUGUGCCACCUGAAAAAAUCAUAAUUUGAGAAGAGAAACUGUUAGGCCAUUUCUAGUGAACUAUUUUUCCAAACCCUCACGGAACCCUGAACAGGGUGUGAAUGAGAUCACAACUACCGCUGCUGCUGGUUCAGCCUCUCUGUCCACUAAUAAAGGCAAACCCUUCAGCAUGGUCAUAUCCUGCCAGCCAUUUUCCCCCAAAAGAUUAAAUUAUGUUCAUCUUGGUUCAUCUAACGCCACAUCUUGAGUUCUUAAGGUAUCACAGCCAACUCAGUCAUACCUUACUUUAUGCACUGAGUAUGCAUUGAACUCUAUUUAGGAAGGAAGAGGGAAGCAAAGGAAGCCAAGGAUGGUUUUGUCAUGACCUCUCUUUGCUUUCUGACCUCCCGGAAUCCACUCUUUGGAAGAUGCGCAGAAAACAAUGUGACUUCCAUUUACCCUGCCUCAGAUCUCCCCUCCUUCAGGCUGGCUCCCACCCCUGGUUCAUGGGGUAAAUUGGGUACGCCUAUUUGUUAAAGGAAUUUGUGGGAAGUGAGGGGCAAAAUUGUUGGAGCAGAGGGAAUAGAUUUAUCGGAGCUUUGUUACCCAGUGACUAUCCCAGCAUUAAUACUUCAGAGUAGUCCUGACGCUUGUGGAAACAUUUCAAGGGAGCUAGAGGCAAUGUUACAGUGGAGAUCAGAGAAGGGAUGGGGCAGUGAGCUCUUGUCCCUAGGGGAAAUCUCUUUUCCUCCAUGUGACAGGAGCCAGUGCUCCAACAGCAUCAGAAUUACACUUAGCCACAAUGACUGAUGCGUGUGUGUGCCUGUGCACAUGUGUGUGAGCAUGCGUGAGUGCACGUGUGUAAGGGGGUGAUGAUGGAAACAUGAUAUGCAUCCACUGUGGGGUUGCGUUGCAAAUUCACAGCUGCACCCCUCCCAAAGUCACAUGGCAGAGGGGAAAUUGUCAUAGCUUUCCCUUGUGAUGUCCUCUCCAGGGAGCACCGACGACUCAGGCUUGCCUCAGCUCUGCGAGGCCCAGACUCCACACUCCUCCCUGGGGCCAGCUCUCCUUCCUCUUGACUCUCAGAUCCCCAGCCCAUCCACCUCCAAGUUCUUUUUUUGUUUAUUUGUUUUGCUUCUGUUUUCUGUAAAUAUCUAUUUCUUAUUUUGGACAUGCAGGGAUCAAUUGAGAUUCUGGAGUGGGGGGAGGGGCGGAUGACUGGGUCUUUUUAUUUUUUCCUUUCUCUCUUGGAUUUUGGUGUUUGAACUUGAAAAAAAUAAUUACAAGUAUAUAUAUAAGCAAAUGACUUACCUUUAAACAAAAGAAAUAAGUUGAUUUCAUUCUUUUGAUUUAUCUUGUUUCUCAUUGGGGUCGGGUGGGGGUGGGGGGUCUUUUGGGUGGAGGGCUUUUUUGUGAGCUGUAUAGAUUUCCAGUUUGGACUUGUUCAAAUGAUGCAGGAACAAAAAAUAAAACGAAUUAAAAAAAAGACAACAUAAAAAAACAAGAAAAACUUUGUGAUGUAUAAAAUCUGUAAAUAGUCAAAGAUUCUUUCUCUUUUCUAAUGGCAAAUUAUUUCUGUCACUUUAUAUUCAAAAAAUAAAGAAACCUACCACAAAUUAUCAGGGUUAAAAAAAAAUCCAGAAUCAGAGUUUUUUUCUUGGUCUUUGUGCUUUCUUUACUGUGAUUCCAAAAAGAUUGUUAAAAGUACUGUUUGGGAAAUACCCCUUGCCCAGUUGGUUUCCGAUUGUUGGUAGGAGUCUUGGACUGGCGAAUCUACUUGGGUUAGGAUCUGUUUCUACUAUAGCUGGUGCUGGAGCCCUUGGUUACACUCAUCUCCCC